UACGGGGGGGGUAAGCGUUGUUCGGAAUUACUGGGCGUAAAGGGCUCGUAGGCGGCCAACUAAGUCAGACGUGAAAUCCCUCAGCUUAACUGGGGAACUGCGUCUGAUACUGGAUGGCUUGGAUUCGGGAGAGGAAUGCGGAAAUUCCAGGUGUAGCGGUGAAAUGCGUAGAUAUCUGGAGGAACACCGGUGGCGAAGGCGGCAUUCUGGACCGAUAUUGACGCUGAGGAGCGAAAAGCCAGGGGGAGCAAACGGGGAU
rnacentral:rRNA from 1 species